CGAUUGGACCUGUUUUAUUAUAUAAAGCUAUUAAACAUUGUAUUUUCGUGUCAUAUAUGAUCCAAAGGGGUAUUAAUUUUUCAUAACUAUAAAUAGCCUUAACCGCACUUUAAUUCAUCGGGGAAAUCAUAAUCUCAGUUAAACACGGGUUUAUCGAGAGAGUGUUCUUCGUGUUCUUGAGAUUCAAACAAGGAUUUGGAAGCGUUAUCGGACUCGGAUCUUGGCGUUUAAGCACUCAAAUCGAAGGUUUUGAGGAGUAGAAUCUGAUUUUGUCAUCAAAAACAUCAAGAAAUUCGCAGGCAGAGAAAGUUGGUAACGAUGACCCUCAGGCUAGUAGUAAGGUCAGGAUUUCAGGCUAGGAGAUGAAGAGAGCUAUCAGCAGCACCUGGCUUUUCAUAUAUGUACUAGUUUGAAUAACGAGACACAAAUGGCGUGUAAGCUUGUAAGAUUUAAGUUUUUAUUUUGGGAUUUGGGUUUGUAAUAAUUAAAGUUGUGUUGUGGCUUGUUUUAUACUUUAACCUGUUGCGAUCCAAGGACAGUGAAGGGUCACUAUAUAUAUUAUAUCAUUAAUUA